GAGGAAAGCUUGCUUUCCUUGAUGACGACUGGCGCACGGGUGAGUAACGCGUAUCCAACCUUCCCAUAACUACGGGAUAACCCGUUGAAAGACGGCCUAAUACCGUAUGAUAUCGUUUGCUGACAUCAAAUAACGAUUAAAGGUUUAGCGGUUAUGGAUGGGGAUGCGUCUGAUUAGCUUGUUGGCGGGGUAACGGCCCACCAAGGCAACGAUCAGUAGGGGUCCUGAGAGGAAGGUCCCCCACAUUGGAACUGAGACACGGUCCAAACUCCUACGGGAGGCAGCAGUGAGGAAUAUUGGUCAAUGGGCGAGAGCCUGAACCAGCCAAGUAGCGUGCAGGAAGACGGCCCUAUGGGUUGUAAACUGCUUUUAUGUGGGGAUAAAGUGCGUGACGUGUCAUGCAUUGCAGGUGCCACAUGAAUAAGGACCGGCUAAUUCCGUGCCAGCAGCCGCGGUAAUACGGAAGGUCCGGGCGUUAUCCGGAUUUAUUGGGUUUAAAGGGAGCGUAGGCUGUCUAUUAAGCGUGUUGUGAAAUUUACCGGCUCAACCGGUGGCUUGCAGCGCGAACUGGUCGACUUGAGUAUGCAGGAAGUAGGCGGAAUUCAUGGUGUAGCGGUGAAAUGCUUAGAUAUCAUGACGAACUCCGAUUGCGCAGGCAGCUUACUGUAGCAUAACUGACGCUGAUGCUCGAAAGUGCGGGUAUCAAACAGGAUUAGAUACCCUGGUAGUCCGCACGGUAAACGAUGGAUGCUCGCUAUU
rnacentral:rRNA from 1 species